AUUGAACGCUGGCGGCAGGCCUAACACAUGCAAGUCGAACGAGUGGCGGACGGGUGAGUAAUUUCUGGGAAACUGCCUGAUGGAGGGGGAUGACUACUGGAAACGGUAGCUAAUACCGCAUAAGGUCGGCUGUGCCCACAUGGGCUUAGCUAGUAGGUGGGGUAAAGGCUCACCUAGGCGACGAUCCCUAGCUGGUCUGAGAGGAUGACCAGCCACACUGGGACUGAGACACGGCCCAGACUCCUACGGGAGGCAGCAGUGGGGAAUAUUGGACAAUGGGCGAAAGCCUGAUGCAGCCAUGCCGCGUGUAUGAAGAAGGCCUUCGGGUUGUAAAGUACUUUCAGCGGGGAGGCGUUACCCGAAGAAGAAGCACCGGCUAACUCCGUGCCAGCAGCCGCGGUAAUAC
rnacentral:rRNA from 1 species